UCCGUUCGGCGGACCGGAGGCCCCCGCACUCGUAAUGCGUAGGUCUCGGGUUCGAAUCCCGAAGGCGGAUCCA
rnacentral:tRNA from 1 species